GUGUGUGUGUGUGUGUGUGUGUGUGUGUGUGUGCGUUUGUCAAAGUGACAUAUGGGGACAUUUUUAUGAAAUUUCACCUUACAUAUGAGGACCUGUUGAAAUAUGGGGACAUUUUCCAUGUCCCCAUAUUUCCCGCAAUGCUAUCGUGUUCUAGACCCUCCCAGCAUGUUCCCAGACCAAAAAUCUCUGAAGUCUUCAUUUGUCAAAUUUUCAGAAAAAGUGUGUGAAAGUGUGUUUAAUUUUUUUGGUCACCUUCGAUUUUGCCCCUAGUGGCCAUCUUUGCUAUUAUGACACACACACACACACACUUGUCCUCAUAUGUCAUAUGUCCUCAUAUGUCAUGUGGGUCAGAAACUCACACACUCCAACAUUUUGAAAAACAUCUAACCAUUACAGCAAUGAACAUACUCUUGAAUUCUGAAUUAAAUAACAACACAUUUUCAACUGAUCUGAUGAUCUCAUCCUUUUUAGUGUUAGUUUUAUCUAUUAAUUUGGUUUAUCUGGAGAGGAUUUGGGCUAGACAAUUAGUAAUAAAGGGAUUAUGGUGAUGAUUUAAUUUGUUUGAUUCAGUAUUUUACUGUAUUGGACUUUUUGCUAUUCUGUUGACUAAAAUACAAUGCCGCACAAUAAUUGCUUUAAAUGUGCCUGAAAUGUAGGUUUUUGCAUAAAAAAAAAACAACCUUCAACCUUGAUUGAGACAAAGGCAAUAAUUCAAAUGCAAUUCAAACUACAUCCAGUAUUUAAUAUUUUCAAAUGGUUACAAUAGCACAUUAUUUGGGUAUUUUUAUCUUUGGGGCAAAUUUAGGAUUAAUAUGGGGAUUGUUUUUGGAGGUAUUCACUUUACAUGGUGUUCAAGACGGUUACUUCCGCCCACUCUGAAGAGUCUCGGCGUCUGAUUGGUCCAAUUUUCAGUUAGGCGACGCCUGAUUGGCCGCUGGACGAUGUCUGCUCCUAACAGAGGGCUAAAUCACUAGUUAACUAUUUUCAUCAUGGAAGUUAUACAGCUCAUGUAUCACACUUAAUAUUGAAUAUAUAUAAAAAGGGUUUUCCAAAAGGACCAUUUAUAAUCGAAAUACACAACUUCACACACGAUUUUGAGCACAACAGAGCGCUCAGUGAACAUCACUUCCGGGACCUGCAUCACCGGAGGGGGACAUCUAUCUUGGCCACAAACCAUCUUUGACAGUCUUCGACAGCAUGGUUGAAUCAGGCGCAUCAACACAUGAUAUAGACAUCGUGCCCAAAAGAAGAGCGAGACGUAAUCCUGAGGCUGAAGCCACCGAGUUUAUUUGAUCUGGAUGUGACAAGUCUUGUUUUAAGGCCCAGUGGAUCAAUGAUUGGAAAGACACCAACUGUUGAUGUUCUAUCUCAACAUUCUCCAGAUUCAUGUGAGCGAUAAACCGACUUCAUCCCUCCAACAGACACCAACUGUUGGGGUUCUAUCUCAACAUUCUCCAGAUUCAGAUGUGAGCGAUAAACCGACUUCAUCCCUCCAACAGAAACCAACUGUUGAGGUUCCAUCUCAACAUUCUCCGGAUUCAGAUGUGAGCCAUUAACUGACUUCAUCCCUCCAACAGAAACCAACUGUUUGAGGUUCUAUCUCAACAUUCUCUAGAUUCAGAUGACAGCCAUAAACCGACUUCAUCCCUCCAACAGAUUGACAGCAGGACAAAUCGCUGGAAGUGGGUAUGUCUCAAGCUUCUUCCACUUGGUCCACUCCAAAGCGGGCUGCAAAGGGGAAGAAGUGGAAGGAGUUGAAUGACACAUGUUGCAUUUUGUAACUGGCAACAAAGUACCAGGUAAAAAAGAUUGUGAAGCCUGCCUCCAUAAAGAACUAGUAGCUCUACAGGACAGAGAUUGGCUUGCCAUCAAGUACUACAUCCAUAACAGAAUUAUAUUAAAAAAAGGGAAAAAAAAUGUUUUCCCACAUCUUCUGUGGUAGUUUGAGUAUGUUACCAGCAAUUAAAAAAGCAAAAUAAACA